rnacentral:rRNA from 1 species
GAUGAACGCUGGCGGCGUGCCUAAUACAUGCAAGUCGAGCGAACGGACGAGAAGCUUGCUUCUCUGAUGUUAGCGGCGGACGGGUGAGUAACACGUGGAUAACCUACCUAUAAGACUGGGAUAACUUCGGGAAACCGGAGCUAAUACCGGAUAAUAUUUUGAACCGCAUGGUUCAAAAGUGAAAGACGGUCUUGCUGUCACUUAUAGAUGGAUCCGCGCUGCAUUAGCUAGUUGGUAAGGUAACGGCUUACCAAGGCAACGAUGCAUAGCCGACCUGAGAGGGUGAUCGGCCACACUGGAACUGAGACACGGUCCAGACUCCUACGGGAGGCAGCAGUAGGGAAUCUUCCGCAAUGGGCGAAAGCCUGACGGAGCAACGCCGCGUGAGUGAUGAAGGUCUUCGGAUCGUAAAACUCUGUUAUUAGGGAAGAACAUAUGUGUAAGUAACUGUGCACAUCUUGGCGGUACCUAAUCAGAAAGCCACGGCUAACUACGUGCCAGCAGCCGCGGUAAUACGUAGGUGGCAAGCGUUAUCCGGAAUUAUUGGGCGUAAAGCGCGCGUAGGCGGUUUUUUAAGUCUGAUGUGAAAGCCCACGGCUCAACCGUGGAGGGUCAUUGGAAACUGGAAAACUUGAGUGCAGAAGAGGAAAGUGGAAUUCCAUGUGUAGCGGUGAAAUGCGCAGAGAUAUGGAGGAACACCAGUGGCGAAGGCGACUUUCUGGUCUGUAACUGACGCUGAUGUGCGAAAGCGUGGGGAUCAAACAGGAUUAGAUACCCUGGUAGUCCACGCCGUAAACGAUGAGUGCUAAGUGUUAGGGGGUUUCCGCCCCUUAGUGCUGCAGCUAACGCAUUAAGCACUCCGCCUGGGGAGUACGACCGCAAGGUUGAAACUCAAAGGAAUUGACGGGGACCCGCACAAGCGGUGGAGCAUGUGGUUUAAUUCGAAGCAACGCGAAGAACCUUACCAAAUCUUGACAUCCUUUGACAACUCUAGAGAUAGAGCCUUCCCCUUCGGGGGGGCAAAGUGACAGGUGGUGCAUGGUUGUCGUCAGCUCGUGUCGUGAGAUGUUGGGUUAAGUCCCGCAACGAGCGCAACCCUUAAGCUUAGUUGCCAUCAUUAAGUUGGGCACUCUAAGUUGACUGCCGGUGACAAACCGGAGGAAGGUGGGGAUGACGUCAAAUCAUCAUGCCCCUUAUGAUUUGGGCUACACACGUGCUACAAUGGACAAUACAAAGGGCAGCGAAACCGCGAGGUCAAGCAAAUCCCAUAAAGUUGUUCUCAGUUCGGAUUGUAGUCUGCAACUCGACUACAUGAAGCUGGAAUCGCUAGUAAUCGUAGAUCAGCAUGCUACGGUGAAUACGUUCCCGGGUCU